UUACGGCCAUAUCACGCUGAAGCACCGGUUCCCAUACGAUCACCGAAGUUAAGCAACGUCGAACCCGUUUUAACCGAGAUGGGUGACCGCUUGAGAAUACCAAGU